rnacentral:lncRNA from 1 species
AAAAAAUGUCUGUUAACUGUAUGUAUCACUUCUUCAAAAUAUAAAGAAAAUAAUUACAAUUAUGGCAGUCCUUGAAACUAGGAAGGUCUGUUACAAUGAAACAAUCAUCUGUACCAAAACAAUGCCUGGUCCUAUUUUUCUAAUGAGUUGGCUUUUUCAAACCUGAGGUUUUCCCCAUGAAUAAACAAAGAGACAUUUCCAAUGAAUCACAUCAAGGAAGAAAGAGCUUCCUGCAUUAUGCUAACAUCUACUAAAGAACAGAAAUCUAAUGCAAGAUGCAUCAAAUGAGGACAAAAUCUCUGGAGAGAGGAUCCAGCUGGCAUGUUGAUGCCAUGUAGCUUGGAGCUUGUGCCAGCAUUUCCAUUACAAAAAUCCUAUAAUCCAAAGCCACGGCAAAUUGAAUAAAUAGCUAAUAAUUAAGUUGUUGCCCCUCUCCUAUUCCAGAAAAAUAAUUUAAAAAUUAGAUUGUACACAUAGAUAUGAAAGAAUUAUGCCACUGGCAAUGCUAAUCAGUUUGGAAUUUACAAAAGACUUCCUACAUCCCAAUCCAUUUUUCUGCCUUUAUCUGAAUUUCAAUAUUUUUCACUGUGUUGUUAUUAUUAUAAAAAUUGCUUUUUAGGGGAAAAACGCUAAGAUUCUUAGAAUUAUAAAUAUCUGAGUUAAAAAGAUGCUGAAAAUAAUCUAGUCCAUAUCUCCUGAUUCUAAAAAUAAAGAGACUGUACCUCAGAGGAGUUAUAAAUGGCAGAGCCCAAGACUAUAGAAAUAACUUAAUUUCAUCUCCUCUCAAAUCCCAUGAGAGCUUUGUUUUUAUAGAAUUUAUAUACAACUGCCUUUUAUUAGGAGGCUAUAAAAACAUGAGAUAUACUAUGCAUUUGUCCUUGGGAAGAAGAACUUUAUAGUUUCAAUGAAUGUUAAGUAAAAUCUUACAUAAACACAGGCUAGCAUUCUUCAUAGAUAUGGAUAAUGUCAUUUAGAUAUUAGGAGGCAACACCAUCAAAUCUUGGAGCUGAAGGAUUUUAUGUAUUUUUUCAGCACAACCACUUUCACAUACAAGGUGACCAAAGACCACUAAGGUCAUGAUAUAUAAGAUCACCUGAUUAGAGGGACAGAACCAGCAUUUCCUAACUCCUCACUCAAGGGUGGCUCUAUUAAAUCAAGCUGACUUUUCUAUAUUAUAGUCUGGUGCAAUAUCUUAUAUUUUAAUUUAUAAAAAUCUUUGGUGUUAUAAAAUAUCAAUUCACGGCCCUCUUGGUUUCUAAGGCUGAGCACUAUGGUCCCCCUUUUAUUUUCAGUCUCCUUCUAUGGUGUAAAGGUAACCUUUUAUCUCAAAGACUACCAUCUCCAUUGAUUUCAAAAAGGCAAAACAAAAAUAACACAGACCUCGCCGGGCGCAGUGGCUCAUUUUAGAGUGAGUGGAAGAAUGUUUGAGUGGAAAGAACUGCACGAUCCCCACGAACAACUGGAGGGGCCAAGGAGAAAUUGGCAAAAGACAGAAAAAGCAGAGAUGCUCAGGAACAAAGCAGGGAAUGUGGGAGGAAAGGCUGACUCAUGUCUCAAAGCACAGGCUCAAUCCUAGGUUUUAUCCUGCCAGGACAAAUGUUAGGGAAGUCAUAAAUGCUACAAGAAAUGCUAUCAAUAAGUACUUUUCUGCUGCAUUACACUGAGGUGGAGCAGUUUUGUGACGAAGACUUACUGCCUACCCAAAGGAUGGAACACACAGCAAAACUAUAAAAAUCCCUUCUGUGUGUCUUCCCGGAAGACUUGUCCAAAUUAUGAUCUUUGCCUGCAUAGCAGUGAGGCAGACACAUAACUAUGAAACCACCAUCUGGAGCCAGAUUUAUAAAUAUUACUUCCUGGCUGGGACCAAGCUCAACCAGCCAUUGUCUAGCUCAGGGAUGUCCAAUCUUUUGGCUUCCCUUGGCUACACUGGAAGAAUUGUCUUGGGCCACACAUAAAAUACGCUAACACUAAUGAUUGCUGAUGAGCUAGGAAAAAAAAAAAAGGUCCAUGCAUAAAUGUCAUAAUGUUUUAGUUUUAAGAAAGUUUACAAAUUUGUGUUGGGCCGCAUUCAAAACUGUCCUAGGCCACAUGCAGCCCAUGGGCCGUGGGUUGGACAAGCGUGGUCUAGCUCAUCCUACUGCUCGGAUCCCAACAAUGUACAACUCUGUGCGGGGACCCUUCACAUCUGUAGUCACUAUAAUCUGUAUAUUUAUUAUAAUUUUCUGGCAGGUGACAGUGACAGUACAGGUUUUGAAGAAAUGGCAGCAGGAGGAUCAUGUGGAUUAGCGGCAGGACCGCCUGUUCCAAAUCCACAUAAAAGCACAUUAUCAGCACACAGAACCCUGAAGUUAUGCUUAUAUUACCUAUGCUCACGUUAGCUAAUAUCUACCCUGGCGGUGAUGUCAACCAUAGCUCUAUUCAGGCCCCCCAGAUGUCGCACCAUUGUCAUCAAGAUGACAGACAACCUUAAAAAAGUGAAAACACCAAUAAAAUGAGACCAUAUAAAAACACAAAAGUCCAUAUUCUAGCAGCGGUCACCUGUGGAAACGCUAAUGUUUGUCUGGAAAAUUUCAAGAAUGCAAUAACCUCCCUCUCAGGCUCACUGGGGGCUUCCAAAGAGCUUUAUCAAGUAUCAGAGUUAAGAACAACAUUGCUAGGGGUGUCACCAUCCCCGAAAAAGGCGGAGACUCAAUCCAGAACCUAAAACACUGCUAAAGGCAGUGUCCAUACACACAACACAAAUCUGGAGCACUUCAGAGGGCAGGAUGAAGAACUAGAUCACCCGGCAAGGGUGAGAAAUGAGCUCCCAUCUGUGCCUCACCUAAAUAGGUCACAGUGAAUGACUCCUUGUAGUGACAAAAUCUUAAUGAUUUAUGCUCAGUUUCAAAACUGGACUAUAUUUUUGAUGUUCUCUUUUUUAAAGUAGGGUUUAUUGAGGUAUAAUUUACAUAGAGUAAAUUUAAUCCUUUCAUUGCACAAGUCUCUGGGUUGGAAAAACUCACACAAUCCUGUAACUACUAGCACCAUCAAGAUAUAAAAGUUUCAUUGUCCCCCAAAUUCCUUCAUGCCCCUUUGUAGUCAACUCCUGCCCCUACCCCAACAACCACUAAUUUGAUAAAACCAGACUGUACUGUAAUAUAAAUUUCCACAGUUUUUAGACUUUCCUUUACACAUCUACCAUAUUUCAUUGAUUUGAAGACACCUCCCCCCUACACACACCAGAUUUAGACACUCUGAAAUGAGA